UGGCCUCCCGAGCGGGGGCCAGCAGGCGUGGGGGCAGGGUCUGCACAGCUCAGGGCCCGGCAGGAAGGGGACCCAGAGCACCUCUGUGCCUCGGGAGCGGUGCUGUGAGUGUGGCAGAUGGAGACUUUUCCAUGACUGACGGCCUGGCCCUGACUCUAUUUCGACUGGAGAAAACACCGUCUCCCAGGCAGGGCCCGCUUGGGACAGGGGACUCAGCAUCCUUCCUCGUCUGCACAAAGACAACGCACCCUGGCACCCGUUCACAUCUUGUCCGUGAGGUCCCACGUGCGUGGUCCGGGUUGGUCCCGUCCCUCACGCUUUGAGGCAGAUGCUCAGAGAGGUUAGGUGCCUUGUCUGAGGCCACAGUGCACCAGAACCUGGAGGACCCGAGUCCAGGCCUCUGCUUCCUGAGCCUAGAGGCUGUUUCCUUACAGACCAGAGUGUGGUAAAGGCGGCGGGGCCUGCCAGAACUUUCUCCCAUGUCUCCUUCUGUGCCGGAGUUGUACACGGUGGGUCCGACGCAGACAUCAGCCGUGGCCAGCCGGGCUUCCGGGGCUGGACCUGGCCCGAUGACCACAGUCCUUCACCUACCCAUCCCUGCUGGGGCGCCGCCUGGUCCCCGCACGUGGUCUGCCUGACUCGACCGUGCACGGCGAGCGUCCCGGCACUGAGCGCCCGCAGGCUGACGGGAGCCGGCUUUGCUGGGUGCUGACGGUCAUCCCGAGCUGGCUGCCCUUUCCUGCCCAGGCCGCCUGUCCCUCGGGGAGGAGAGCAGGGCCCCUCCCCACGCAGGUGGAGCCUUGGCCCCCGUGCCUCCACACUGCCUCUGGCUCGGCAUUGCCGUUUGCCUGGCCUCCGUGGAGCUCCUUCCAUCGCCAGCGUCACAGAGCUCUCUUGGUCCUGGACACCCCAGGGGCCACCGGGGGACGGAGCAGCCUCCUUGCCUGGCACUGAGGAGAACCACUUCCGAGGCUGGCCUCUUCUAGACCAUUCCGGGGGGCACCUCUGCCCCUCAGGUGGCAGAGAACCAGCCCAGGUGGGCAGCAGGAUCCAAGCACGGUCGGGCCAGGUGCUCCUGAGGCCCGGGUCCCGGGACCUAUAGCUGGUCCCAGCUCUCUCGGCCCCCUCCAGCUGCUCGCCGAGCUGCUCCAGGCCCUGCGUGACCUGGUCUAACGCCCGAUGAGCUGACCGGAGGCAGAGGUCACAGAGGACGCCUGACGGUGCCUCCCGGACCAGCCCUGCGGGUGCACCUGGACCGGGUCACAGCACAGCCUCGGCACACGCCCCCUGUGGCUCCACAGCCCCGAGGACACUUCCUGGAAGAAGCCCCGUUUGCACGGGCUGGGAGAACGGUAGGAUCUAGAACGACAGCGACGCGGGGAGGAAGGCCCUGCAGAUGGGGAGCCGGCGUGGGCUGAGCUCAGGGAACAGAGCGCUUUCACCCCCAGCUCCCGUGGGCGCGGAAGGACCGUCUGCUCAAAGCGAGGCUCGUGUCUGGAGAUGUAGGCAGGCCUGUCCUCCAAGAGCUACCCGGAGGCUUUUAUUGUCUGAGGUUACGUGGUCAAUGGGUUUCGAGAGACGUUCAUUAUUACCUCAGCGCCGAACAUCUGUGGCCAGCGUGACUGCCUCCUUAGUUCCCCGAGGAGCCCCCGUCAGCUGGAUCCUCAUUCCACGCUGACCCUAUGGAUCCCGAGGUCCCGAAGCCCAGAGGAGACGUGGCUUUUCUGGGGGGGACCCACCCAAGGCUCUCCCACGGCGGGGAGGUGAUACCCCCCAACGCGCGCUCACGCACCCGCCCAGGGUGCUGGACGGUAACGGGCCGCGGCGGUUGGUUACGGUUGCCUUGAAAGGCCACGUCAGAGCCGGCCCUCUCCUGGGCCUGUUCAGUGAUUAACUCCCAUGGGACAUUAUCUUGAACCGAAUCUCCCGGGUGCAAAGCUGCGGCCGGGCUCUGGGAGAAUUUUAUCGUCCUGUUCCCGAACACCGCAGACAGCCCUGGGUAAUAAUUAACUUCUGCCUCUCUCCGUUCCCCGAAGAUGAUCCUGCCCCUACCAAAGGCACGCCAGCCCCUGGCCUCUCCUCCCACGCUCGGACCCCUUCCCCCGCCCCAGCUCCGAGGGGAAAGAAAGAGAAAGCAGGUCCUCCGGGAGCUGGCAUGGCAGACAAUGUGUGUCUUGUGUGAGUAAUUUAGCACUGUGGCCAGUCAAUCUGGUUUCUGGGCCCGCUGCCCUGACCCUCUUUAGAGAGGCUCGCUCUCGCCGGCACAGUGUGAAACAUUUUCUUUCACGGCACUGACACUCUGCAGAUUGAGACGUCAGCCCGGCCCGACUGCAGCAAAUUAGCAAUUUUUCUUUUGCUAAUUGGAAAUAAAAAUGUUUGCCGAGGGAGCCGUUUGUCGGCAUGCGGUUUUUGGUUUCUGUGCACCGGGAGGCUGCGUUGAAAAUGCAUCCCGAGACGCUCCCCACCCUGGGGUGCCCCUCGCCACAAAUUCUAAGGGGCUUCCUGGUGGCAGUGUGCCGGGGGCGCCCCUCCCUCGCGGCCUCCCUCCAGGCCCGGGACCCCUCCUCUGGGAGAGCGGUUCCCAGAGCCACCGUGCACCUUCGGAAAACCACCAGGACCGGGCAGGUGGCAACACCGUCUGGGACGAGCUGGUGAGACAGCCCUUUGCCGAGAGGAGGGGAGCAGAAAAUCAGGGGUUAAUGGCCGAGGGCAGCCCACACCUUUCCGAAGCACAGAAACGUCUCCUCUCUGGAAAAGCCAGCCAGGUCACAUGGUUCCUGAAUCUGUGUGGGGAGGGUCACCCACCCUCGCCCCGUCCCGUGUGCGCCCUGGGAGGGACUUCCUCCGGCCUCAAGGCGGCUGCUGGUUUCAGCCAGCCCUCCCUUCCAAGGGUGGGAAAGACCCCCGCGCCUGGAUAACGGGGGGCAGAGGCGCCUGCCGGGGCGGGGAAGGGAAUGAGGCGUUUUCUGCUGAUUGGAACAAAGGAAGAACCACGUGGAAGGCCCGGAGUGUCCCUCCCUGAGGAAAGUGGGCCAGGACCUUUAGACGGAGUGCAGUGAUUUGGAAAUCUGCUUGUAAAUAGGCCGGAGCGCACCCACCUGUGCACGUACACACGCUCGCAUGCCUGUGCCCGCACGCCCGUGCCAGCGUCGCCGCGGGUGUGCGCGUGAGUGCGUGGCGUUGACCGUGGCCGCCCCACCCCCGCCCCCGUGCUCCCCCGUGGCCCGGGCUCCCCCUCGGGACGCCCGGGGUCUCUCAGGAGCCAGGCCAGCGCAGAAAGGGUUACCCUGCUCCCCCUCCCUGCUUUUCUGAUAAAGCAUUUGACAGCCCUGCUUAA